UGGGAAUUUUCUUAUUGGGCCUCGCCUUCAAGAAUUUGGGCUUUUGUGACUCGUAUCAUUCCCCCUUCCUCAAAAAGAUUCGUCCUCGAAUCUGAAAAAUCAAAUGAACUCGACUUUCCUCUAUCGAACGGAACUAAUGGCAAUUGAGUCCACUGAAAAGAAUAGCCAUGAGAUAGUAAAUAGCAACGGAAACAAGCUUGUAGUCCAAUCAUAAGCAUAACAGAACAGGUUAUAACGCAUGUGAAUGGACAGAUUCAGAUUACCAUGCAAACAAUCUAAUUUACUCACCACUGCCUCGUCAAAUAUUUGAAACAAAGAUGGACAUGUUUUAAGGCAUUCAGUCGUCUCACAUUGUUCCCACAAACCAUGAAUAAAUUGCGAGUAAUAAAUCAAAUGGUAAACAUAAUCGUCACAAGUAGGUAUUUGAAAAGAUUCACAUGGUUCACAGAGUUGCAUAAUCAUACCAUGCAUUAAUCGAUGGUCUAUAGAUUCACUCACGCAUGCAUUAUCAAAAACAAGAAUCUUUUUAUCAACCAUCAAAACAGAUAGAUCAUCAAUAAAUAAAAUAGGACAGUCAAGCACGUUUCGAUCUAAGUGUUCAUCAACACGAUCUUUAUCACUAUCCGAGGAGUACAAAAGUGUUUCAAAGGUUUCAAGCAUCUUACCUCGAUAAGCAGAAGAAUAAGGGUCGAUUUUACCUUUUUCAUUUAAAACAAACCUUCGCUCAUCGGGAGCAUAGUGUAGUCGAAUCUUCGUUAUUGAGUUAACGUUUGUCAAAUGGAACUCAAACUUCAUGUACAACCACAUAAACUGUUUAAGGCACGAAUAUAAAUUGAAAACAAAUUUGGAAAAUUUCGUUACCUUAUUCUCCAAAACAGAUUUGGACAAAUUCAAGGAUUUUACACAAGGUAAAUCAAGAGAAUAACAAAUCACGCUUCUUUUCGUAAUGACUUUAUCAACCACAAUCGAAGAGUAACAAUUAAUCGGAUCAAAAUGAGGGGAUCUUUUAAGAACUAAGUCACCAAAAGUUUUAUCAAUAAUUUUCAAAUCUGCACUGGACUCGGUUUCUAAAAUUUCCUUACCUCGCUUACCUUCGGGAUCAUGUAGUGUGAUUUCAUCUUUGCUUAAGUUGAUCGUAUGAAAGCGUCUUUCAUUUGAGAGGUAUUGAAGUUGAAAGUUAUCUUUCGAUCUUUCGGGAACCUGAAAAGUAGCAACACAAGAAAAAUUCAUAUCUUGGUUAGUGGAAACAUUCCUCACUACCCUUUCCACGUCUUUUUCUUUUGUUUCUUUUUCUAAUUCAUUUUCUCUUCUUUCUUCAACUUCUUUUUCAAUUUUCUUUUCUGUUUCACAUUCCUUUUCACUCUCAAGCUCUUUUUGCUCUUUUUCUUUUUCCUCACUUGUUUUAACAGAAUUUCUCAGUUUGAUUUGGUCCUCAUAGACUUGUUCCGGAGUGAGCGGCACUAAGGUGAGUUUCUUUCCUUGAUGCUUGAAAGAAUACCUAUUGGUACGACCAUUGUGAGUGACUUUUCGAUCCAGUUGCCAUGGUUCUCCUAGCAAUAAAUGGCAGGCUUGAAUAGGCAUUACGUCGCACACAACUUCGUCUUGAUACUUACCGAUAGAAAAGGCAAUGCGCAAUUGUUGAGUGACCCUAAAUUGGCCUUCGUUGCUAAGCCCUUGUAGUGGAUAAGGUUGUGGAUGCUUGGUAGUGGUUAAGCAAAGCUUUUCCACCAUCGUCGUGCUGGCUAUGUUCGAGCAACUUUCACCAUCAAUAAUAACUCUACAAAGCUUACCUUGUACAUGGCAGCGAGUAUGAAAGAGAUGUUCUCGUUGCUGCUCGCUCUUUGGUUUUGCCAAAGAUGAUUGUCCACGAUCAUUAAAAUCAUCAUCCAUUCUAGGGACACGUUGAGGGCCGCGCCUAUGGGGCUGGUUAUUCCUAUCUUCCCUGAUUGGAUCUCGAUAUUGAAGUUCUUGAUUCAUUCGUACCUCAUUCAAAGUAGUAUUCAAUGCUUGAAGGGUAGCAUUUAUUUGUGUGAUUGUAGCAGCGUGUCCUUCUAACUGUUGUUGGACUUCCAUAAGUGUAUCAUUAUGGUCAUCUUUAGACAUCUUCCAAAAAAAACUGCAAAAAUAAACACUCAACACUCAAAAAUAAAAGUUAUCAAACCUCACCGUUAAUCACUCAAAAAGAAAAAAUCAAAUUCUCAAUGAGGUCGAAUUCAAUCUUGUGAGUUCUUUAUCAGAGUUUAUAUCAACCAAUUAGAGAGUGUGAACCAAACUACCAAAGAAUCCUAAUUUGCACUAGGAUGCCAAAAACUGACGAGACACCAAUUGAUUCGUGUUGCACCGAGGAAGAAGUUGUGCACACGUUUAAAUCCUACUAACACAAGAAACAAGAAGGUGUUAGAUAACGUAAAGGAAGAAUAAAGGUAAAUAAAUGAAAACCUACAGCUAAGAAUCAAUAAAAAUUGCUGAAAACAGAAAACCCGAAAAACUGCGGAGUAACUUGACAACUUCGUUCGAGGUGUUCCCGAUCUCCAAAAAUCACGAAAUUAAAUCUGGAGUGUCCUUAUAAAUUGAAUUUUUGAUCUGGAAAUUUUGGGCACCAAAUUCAACCCUCUGCACCUUUUAUUAAAUUUUUAUUGAAUUUCGUAUUUUUUUUGAUUUUUUGACUUUUUUGACUGAUUUUUUGCGGGAAUAAUUUUUUUAUAUUCAAUCACAGUGCCAAAAACAUGUAUGUAAAAUUUCAGAUCAAUCGGACAACGUUUACCCACUCAACUGAAUUUUUUUGAACAAUUUUUCUGGGUAAAACUGCUGUUUAUGCUUUAAAAAAUAGAGAUCAGUUUAGAAAUCAACCAAGAACAUCCAAAACGCCCAAAAUCUGAUUUGUAAACAUCUUACUUGUUUAAUUUAAUUUUUAAUCUUUAGGAGCAUUACAUGUAAAAUUCGGCCCAAAACAGCCCAUAUAAGUGCAUGGCCGAAUUUACCUUGUUAUUUUAUUAAUUAGGUUUAAUUUUUUUAGUUACUUGUGAGAUUAGGAUUUGUUGGAGGCCUAUAUAAGCAUUGGCCAGCCACCCUUUGAAAAAACACAUCUUAUUAUUAUUUUUUUCUAUCAAAUUUCAGAUUUGUUGAGUGCAGAAUUUUCUUUGGGGUUUUCUCCAAGAAUUCUCUCUUGAGUUUUCUUUAGAAGUUGUUUUAACAAUCUUUUGAUUGUGGGAGCCAUCUUCAACCUUCUUCUUGCCAUCGAUAUUCUUUGGAGGGGAGAUUAGAGCCGUUUGAAGGAAUUUGUGAAUUCUUUCGGGAAUUCAAGGGUUCUUAGGACUUUUUCUUUAUUUCUUGCUGUUUCGAUUUGUUUCUUUAUUCCUACUUGUGCCGAUUCAUUAUCUAAUCUUUUUUGCUGUUCUUGCUUGUGUUUCAGCUUUCUUUAACUCCAAGAUCCUUCCAUUUAAUCGGUCUACUUUUGGGCAGUAAAGUUUCAAACCAAAAUCCCUAAAUCCUAGGGUUCUUGUCGAUUAAUACAUUCUGAUUUUUGGGAAAAAUCAAGUUGCUGGAUUUUGGGGCUUUAUUCAUCGAUUUAGUUCUUGGACAGAUUCGGCUUGUUGAAAAUCAAACUUGGAGAUCGAUUUCGUGUUUUUGCAUUCCGAAAACAUCUAUUCAUAAGAUCUUUGAUUCUUGGCUGUUCUUGAUUGUUUUGGGGAUCUUAAUUUCCAGAUCUGAUUUGUUUUUAAUCUUGUUCUUUGUUUUGAUUUCAGAUCUGAUUCGUCUAGAGCUUUCAUAGGAGUUUCUCGUGACUUGGCAACUCGAUCUUGGUCCGCGCGCAUUCCUCUAUCAGAGAAGGUUUGUAUUGAUAGAAAAAAGUGACACCAAAUUGUUUCUUCCUACUUUUAAAGGUAAACAAGAAAAGACUUUGGAAAAUGCUAAGACAUCAAUGUUUUAUUCGCAUGUUAAUGAACACUUUGUUGAUGCUUUGAUCUUUGAAAAAUAUUAUUUUCUUGAUGGUAAUGGUUGUUUGUCUUUAAAUUGCAAUGAAAUGCAUGUUUUGAAUGUGCAAGAUGAAAGCCUGUAUAAAUUGUUCCUUCUAACUGAUUAUGUUGAAAAGGUAUGGAAGUGUAUUGAUGAUUCUGAUUGUGUACGAAGAUAUUUGAUUGACUAUUAUUUGAAUCGAUUGAGUUUGCUUGAUUGUAAUAAUGGCAAGAUGAGACUGUUUGACAAUUUGAGAUUUGCAAGUUUUGAUCGAAUGAGUCUAAGGGUUCAUGAUCGAUUGAAUAAACUUUUCAUGUCUUGUGGAUAUAAAUUGAGCGUGAAUCCUUUGCAUUUUCUACUACCGAACAUGGGGAGCCCACUUGAGAAGGUAAGAUCUAUUUAUAUUCUUAGACUCAGCAAUGGCUUAAUUGUUCAAAUUCUGAUUGACAUUUCUGUGCAAGUUUGUAAGUCCUUCAUUCGUUUUGUUCCCAAUUCAUUUCUUUAUUAUGUAGAUCACAUCUUUAUUUGUUAUAUUCCUAAAGAGGGAGGGACUGCUUCUAACUUUCUUCUCUUACGAGAAUUGUGUGAUUUUCAGAAUUUUGGAAGCAUUAUUGUCAACCAAGGGGAUUGUGAUGAGGAAAGAUUUUUCAUGAGUAAAUGGCCCGAUUUGGGAACAAAUCGCUUAAAAGAGGGAGGGGAUGAUACGACCACGCUCCGGGCACACUUUUGGACCAGCUCCUUAUGCAUUGAUUGCAAAUGCAUGCGGGCUGAAUUAGCUUAAUUCCAUUUCAUUGAGCUCCAAUUAGCUCAUUUCCAGCUCCAUGAACUCAUUUCAGCUCAUUUGAGCUCAAUUGCAAAAUUUGUGACUAUGUGUUUUAGCUGCUGGAAUUAAUUUAAUUUGUCUUUAAAAUAAAUUAGUUUAGUUAGUUACAAUAUGUAUAUGAAUUAAAUUAGGCUGAUAAUUCUACAUUAAAUAUGUUUUAUUUUAUUACAUGUUUUAAUGAUGUCCAAAGUCUAGCCGAAUUUAUGUCAAAUAAUUAAGUUGUCCAAAUUCAGACAUGUUUUAAUUGUGUUUUAAGGGCUGCCAAAUUUAAUGUGCAGAAUUUAAGUGUUAUUUGCUGCUCAAUUUAUUGUGUCUAACAUGCAUUUGAUUUAUUGAAUUUAUUUGCUACAGGUACACUACACUUGGACGUUCUAAGAUGCAUGAAGGAAUUAAAAGAAGGUACAUGCAUGGUACGGCACAUGCAUGUUUGGGAAAAUUAAAUUUGUUUGCUGAUUGAUUAUCCUAGGUGACCAUUCGGCCAAGAGAGCUACUGUUUAAUACUCCCAAGAAGAAGGCCAUUCAGCCGAAAUUAUUCCUUUCACAUUGUUGGGCAAAUGUUCACACAUGGUGGUUGUUCGGUUCAAGGUUUUCACAUUACAAAAUGGCUGAUCAGUAACUCCUUAAUUGCCGGUCACUUUCCAGCAAUAGUUGCAAUAUAAAUGAGCUCAUUUAAGCAUAUUAAACGAAUCAAGCUGCUGCCAUGCACCUCUCCAAGCUUCCAAGUCCAUUGUUCAUUCUAGAAGCUGUCCAUUCAAGCUCACAUUUAGCCAAAUCUUGUUAGCCUAAUUAAAUAGAUUCAUUUGCUUAGUUUUUAAGAAUUCAGGUGGCUAUUCGGCUAGCUUAGUUUUUGCCUAUAAAUUGUGUUGAUUUCAUUUUGUAAAGAACUUUUUCUUUUGAACCUUAAUGAAUUGCUGUCAAUUUGUGGAGAGAUUUUCUUCUCUUAAAUUUCGUCCAAAAACUUCGUUGACUUAUCUAACUAGUUAGUGGCGUUAACCCGUUUUUGUUCAACCGAACUUAUCACGAUUUCGUGUGGCGUUCAAUCUAAAUUAUACCAAGGUUCCUAUCUAUUAUAGAUAGUGGGUCGAGGUUUCACUAUCCAUUUCCUAAAAAACUUUAAAACCUAUAAGUUUCGGGUCAACCUUCAAUCGAAGUGUUGGUUCACUCUUGUUCUUAAUUCACCAUUUUAAUUCUAAUUACCGAGUUUUCUUUUAUUUUACAACCAAGCUUCAAUAAUUCGAUUAGCUAUCUUAUUCUUAAGCCUAUCUUUGACAUCCUUAAACCACAUUUAGCUUAACAUCCAUCUUCAUUCCAUCUCAAACGAUUCUUCUUUGUUUUAACGAUCGGGCAACUAUACGACUCGGAUUAAUCUACGAGGCCGGGGCGUAUCACAUGUAGUGGAAUAAAGUAAUUUCGUACCAAGCUUAGCCCACAAUACCUUCCAAAAGUGGCUAUGGAGUUUGACAUCUCUGUCAGAAACAUUUGUUUUAGGGAUGUCAUGAAGUCUUACCACUUCUUUAAAAAUUAAGUCUGCCACAUGUGUAGCAUCAUCUAUUUUGUAACAAGGAAUAAAAUGUGCCAUCGUGGAAAACCUGUCAACAAUAACAAAUAUACUAUCUCUUCCUUUCUUAGUUCGUGGCAAACCUAGAAUAAAAUCCAUGGAUAAGUCUACCCAUGGUGAAGUAGGAAUCGACAAAGGAGUGUAAAGACCAUGAGGCAUUACCUUAGAUUUUGCUUGUUUACAUGUAAUGCACUUAGAACAUACCUUUUCAACAUUCUUCUUCAUAUGUGGCCAAUGGAAGUGUUCUUGCAAGAUGUCUAGUGUUUUGGCCACUCCAAAAUGUCCCAUUAAACCCCCACUAUGGGCCUCAUGCAUUAAUAAGUCUCGCAUGGAACACUUUCGUAUGCAUAACCUGUUCAUAUGAAAAAGAAAGCCAUCUACAAGAUAAAACUUCUCAAAAGUAGUAUGUCCACAAUUUCUAUAGAUAUGGCCGAAAUCAGCAUCAUCAUUAUAUAAUUCCUUAAUAUGUUCAAACCCUAAUAAUUUAGCAUUAAAUGUAGUUAUUAAAGCAUAUCGUCUAGACAAAGCAUCCGCAACUACAUUAUCUUUACCUGUUUUAUAUUUUAUCACAUAAGGAAAUGUUUCAAUGAAUUCCACCCAUCGGGCAUGCCGUUUACUCAACUUACCUUGUCCCUUUAACCACUUAAGGGAUUCAUGGUCUGUAUGAAUGACAAAUUCAUUGGGCAGCAAAUAAUGUUGCCAUACUUGAAGUGCACAAGCCAAUGCCAAUAGUUCUUUAUCAUAAGUUGAGUAGUUUAAUUGUGCACCAUUCAAUUUUUCACUAAAAUAAGCAAUUGGUUGCUUAUCUUGCAUUAGAAUGGCACCAAUGCCUAUUCCUGAAGCAUCACACUCAAGUUCAAAAGUAUUAGUAAAAUCAUGUAAUUUAAGAAGAAGAGCAGAACAUAACUUAGCUUUUAGGGUCUGGAAACCUUUUUCUUGAGUUUCACCCCAUUUGAAACCCACGGAUUUCUUUAUGACCUCUGUUAAUGGGGUAGCAAUAGUAGAGAAAUCUUUAACAAAUCGUCUAUAAAAACUAGCUAAGCCAUGGAAAGAUCUCACCUCAGUUACCGAUUUAGGAGUCGGCCACUCUUUGAUUGCCUUGACUUUGUCCUCAUCGACAUGAAUACCUUGAGCACUAACUAUGAAACCUAAAAAUAUUAGCUUAUCACAACAGAAUGUGCAUUUAUCAAAGUUGGCAAAUAAUUUUUCUGCUUGCAGAAUAUCUAAAAUAGUUCUAACAUGGAAAACAUGAUCAUCUAAUGUCUUUGAGUAAAUUAAAAUAUCAUGAUCAUCUAAUGUCUUUAAGUAAAUUAAAAUAUCAUCAAAGUAAACUACUACAAAUUUACCCAAGUGAAGCCUUAAAACGUGAUUCAUUAAUCUCAUAAAUGUACUCGGUGCAUUAGUAAGGCCGAAAGGUAUAACUAACCAUUCAUACAAUCCAAAUUUUGUUUUAAAGGUUGUUUUCCAUUCAUCCCCUUCCCUCAUUCGAAUUUGAUGAUAACCGCUUUUUAAAUCAAUUUUAGUAAAUAUAACUGAACCAUGUAAUUCAUCAAGCAUAUCAUCAAGUCUAGGAAUUGGAGGUCUAUACUUUACCAUUAUUUUGUUGAUUGGACAGCAAUCAACACACAUUCUAUAUGUACCAUCUUUCUUUGGUACCAUUAAGACAGGAACGGCACAAGGGCUUAGGCUCUCACGAAUGUACCCUUUGUCUAGUAACUCCUCAACUUGCCUUUGCAAUUCCUUUGUCUCCUCGAGAUUGCUUCUUUAGGCUGGUCGAUUUGGAAUUGAAGCUUCGGAUACUAAGUCAAUUUGAUGCUCUAUCCCACGUAAAAGUGGUAAACCUUUAGGGGCCUCACUAAAAACAUCCUCAUAAUCCUGCAAAAGACACUGAAACACACUAGGCAAAUUUUCGUUAAUGUUAGAUAAAGAUAAAUAGUUUUGCCUAAACCUCACAAGGAUACAAGGCUGUUUAUUGAGUAGGGCUCUCCACACAUCUUUUUUUGUUGCCAUCAAAUUUUUCACUCUUAUUUUACCACUUGCAGAUUUACUCACCUUUGGGCUAUUUAGAUUUUGACUUUUUCCACUAGUAGCCUAUUUUCUCUCUGUCUUUUGAAUUUGUCCUUUCUCCCUUACCCCCUCACAAAAUUUCAUCAUAUUUAAUCGAUCUUUAUAUACAUCAGUGGGAUUUAAAGGAGUAAAACUGAAUUUUCGGCCUUUAAACACAAGGGAGUAUCAAUUGAGCUUACCUUGGUGUGUAACAUCACGAUCAAAUUGCCAAGGCCGUCUAAGGAGCAAGUGUGCUGCAUGCAUUGGGACCACAUCACACCAUACCUCAUCCUCAUAAUUCCUGAGCUUAAAAGUGACCAAGGACUGUUUUGUAACUUUAACUUUCGAGCAUUCAUUAAGCCACUGAAGGUGAUAUGGCUUAGGGUGUUUCGUACAAGGUAACUUUAAAGAAUCCACCAAAUAACUGCUCACUACAUUCGAACAACUCCCACUAUCAAUAAUAAGUGAACAUAAGUACCUUUAAUAAAACACCGAGAAUGGAAAAUAUUUAUCCUUUGGUUAUCAACGUCAUCUCUCAUCUGGAUGUUAAGGGUGCGGCGAACUACAACGUAUUGAAAAUCAGCAAAGUGCCUUUACUACAACGUAUUGAAAAUCGGCAAAGUGCCUUUCUUUUGGUGGUUCAACCAACUCUUCUCCAUUAUCACUAUCAUCCAUAAGUUCAAGCAUAUCCGGAUCUAUUUUAUCGGAGUUAGAAGUGUACUCACCAUUAUCUUUCAUAAGAAGUAAUCUCGUGUUAGGGCAUUCCCUACUAUAAUGACCACACCCUUUGCACUUGAAACAUUCAAUCUCACGAGUCCUCUUCUGAUACGAACUCGUCUCGUGAUGUUUUGAGUCGUAUGUGUUGCCCAAUUGUGAAUUGAGUAAGGAUGGAUUCGUUUCGGUUUUAAAUUGAAACAAAAUAGAGAUAAUGGCUUCAAACAAAGGUAAUAAACAAAAUAAAGAGGAAACAAUAACAAAUUAAUUGGCUAAGACCGAAAAUGAACCAACAAUAACGAAUUGUUGACCCGAAUCACAAAAUGGUCUUUAGGUGUUUUCGGUUAAAGGAAACAGGAAAGGAACCUUGACCCACUAUCAACUAUGAUAGGAACCAAAGGUAUAUUAAACGCCACACCAAAGGUGAUAAGUUCAACAACAAAGAAAAGAUGGACGCCACAAGCUAUGCUUGAUAAGUCAAAUCAAUUCCGAAAGAACAAAGAGAAUUGGAUAGCUCACAAUUCAAAUAUUUCAUCUAUAUUCAGUAAAAAGUUGUUCCCUCUAUGGCUGAUUACAUCUAUUUAUAAUGCUAGAACAAGGUAACCGAAUGGUCAAAAACAUCCACUUAAUGUGUCAUAAAAAACUGAUGUCUUUUCUUAUUCUUUGAACCAAAUAACUCCUUCCAUAAAAUCACUUUAAUUCAGCUGAUUUGAAUGUCUUUAAUGGCUUAGAAAAUGACUCUUGAGUUGUCCUUGGCUAGUUGAAUAGACACCAUCUCUUACCAGCUCCUUAAUGACAUUCAAAGGCUUGAUUAAUUUCUCUUAAAAGCUCCAAAAACGGCUGGAAGUGGAAGAGUUGCUGCUGAAUUUUAAAGGGCAUAAAAUGCUCUUUAAAAACUCCUUUUAAUGAUCUUUAAGCUCCUUUUUUUAACAGCCCCUUUAAUUGUAACUCAAAAGAACUUGAACAGCCACUUAUUAAAUGUGUAACAGCCUUGAAUUGUAACCACUAUAAGCUAAAAAGUCACCUGCAAUAAACACAUUAAAAUGAGUUUAUUAAACACAUUAAAACACUUAUUAAUCAUAACACAUAUUAAACUUACUUAAAUAAAUGAACUAAAACAUAUAUGCAAUAAUUAUUCCAGCAACUAGUUUAAUUAAAGAAGCAUAAUUUAAAGAACUUAAUUUAUGCAUCAAUAAAUAAUCCUAGGAACUAGAUCAAUUAAGAAGCAUCUUAUUUAAUAAAGUUCAAUAACUAACUCAUGUAUUAAAACUUUAAGAUAAGUUAAAUUAAUUGAUCAGCAACUUAUUUAUUAAACUAAAACAAGUUAAUUAAAAGAAACAAAUUCAGCUUGCAAUAAAUUGCAAGUAAUGCCUUUUGAACGGUUUGAAGCACGACUAUCAAAUCCGGCCACUCCCUCUUCCCAAUCUCGUUCCACAUAGCUUGCUAUUGCAUUUCGAAAUCUCUUAGCUCGUGAUCGAGUUAUUGGUCCUCGUGGCAGCUCAAUGGAUUCGGUAGUAAUUUCCCGGGCUAAGGUUGCAUCAUUCCCCCCCUCUUCGAGGCGAUUUGCUCCCAAAUCGUCACCUACAUCGAAAAGAGAUAAAUCAGCAACAUUAAAAGUAGCACUAACCCCAUACUCACCAGGUAAAUCUAACUUAUAAGCAUUAUCAUUAAUUCUCUCCAAGACUUGAAAAGGUCCAUCUCCUUGUGGUAAUAGUUUGGAUCGUCUUUGAACGGGAAAUCUCUCCUUGCGCAUGUGAAUCCAAACCCAAUCACCAGGUUCAAAUAUUACUCGUUUACGGCCCUUGUUAACUUGAUGUGCAUAUUGCUCCGUUCUUCGUUCAAUAUUAUCCCUAACUCACUGAUGUAAUUGUUUCACAAAAUCUGCCUUUUUCUUUCCAUCUACAUGCACCAAUUUAUCAAAAGGUAAAGGCAAUAAAUCCAAUGGAGUUAAGGGAUUAAAUCCAUACACUACCUCAAAUGGUGAAAACUUGGUAGCUGAAUGUACCGAUCGAUUGUAUGCAAAUUCAAUGUGAGGUAGACACUCCUCCCAAGUUUUUAAAUUCUUACGUAUAAUGGCCCGCAGUAGUGUUGACAGAACUCUAUUAACAACCUCUGUUUGGCCAUCAGUUUGGGGAUGACUUGUUGUGGAAAAUAAUAGCUUAGUUCCAAUCUUUCCCCAUAAAGUCCUCCAAAAGUGGCUGAGAAAUUUAGUGUCUCGAUCCGAAACAAUGGUUCUUGGAAUUCCAUGCAAUCGUACAAUCUCCCUAAAAAAUAGAUUGGCAACAUUUAAAGCAUCGUCAGUUUUGUUACAUGCAAUGAAAUAAGCCAUUUUUGAAAACCGAUCAACUACAACAAACACAGAAUCUUUGCCAUUCUUUGUUCUAGGAAGACCCAAAACAAAGUCCAUAGAAAUAUCCAUCCAUGGCAUUUCUGGAAUCGGUAAUGGAGUAUAGAGUCCAUGUGGUUGGACCCUUGAUUUCGCCUUCUUGCAAACAAUACAGCGAUUGCACACUUUAGCCACAUCUCGUUUCAUCUUUGGCCAAUAAAAGUGUUCUUGAAGAACGGCCAAAGUUUUGGCAAUACCAAAAUGUCCCAUUAAACCCCCACUAUGUGCGUCAUGAACCAGCAAAUUUCUAGUUGAUCCUUGGGGUAUGCACAACUUAUUUUCUCGAAAUAGGAAUCCAUCUUGCUGAUAGUACCUGUCAUACGCACCUUGCACACAUAACUUGUAAACUUCUCCAAAAUCAGAAUCAUCAGCAUAUAAUUCCUUUAAAUAAGCAAAACCAAGUAACUUAACAUCCAAAUAAUUUAAAAGAGCAUACCUUCGCGAUAAAGCAUCUGCAACGAUAUUUUCCUUACCUUGCUUAUACUUAAUCACAUAUGGAAAGGAUUCUAAGAAUUUUACCCAUUUUGCAUGUCGUUUGUUAAGCUUAGUUUGCCCUCUCAAAUGCUUCAAAGCCUCAUGGUCCGUGUGUAUAACGAACUCCUUAGGCCAAAGGUAAUGCUGCCAUGUUUCUAAUGCACGUAUCAAUGCGUACAUUUCUUUGUCAUAUGUGGGAUAAUUGAGCGUAGCUCCAUUAAGUUUCUCGCUAAAAUAAGCCACCGGUUGCCCAUCUUGCAUUAAAACCGCACCUAUUCCUAUUCCAGAAGCAUCACAUUCUACCUCGAAAAUUUUGUUAAAAUUCGGCAAACAUAAAAGUGGAGCAUUAGUCAAGCAAUCUUUGAUUUUAACAAAAGCAGAUUCUUGUUCAUCAGACCAAAUAAAAGGUGAAUUUUUUUUGAUAAUACCGGUUAAUGGGGCAGCAAGAGUGCUAAAAUUCAGUACAAACCUCCUAUAGAAGCUUGCAAGGCCAUGAAAGCUUCUAACUUGGCUGAUGUUAUUCGGUCGUGGCCAUUCUUGUAUUGCUUUAAUCUUCUCUUGGUCCACCUCUAAUCCAUUCGCACUUACAACAAAACCUAGAAAAACAACUUUGUCAGUACAAAAGUUACAUUUCUUAAGGUUUGCAUACAAUACUUCCUUUCGUAAAACCUUCAAAAUAGCAUGCAAAUGUUCAAGAUGUUCAGUUAAUGAUUUGCUGUAAAUUAAAAUAUCAUCAAAAUAAACUACGCAAAAACGACCAAUGAAUGACCUCAAAACGUGGUUCAUCAACCUCAUGAAAGUACUCGGUGCAUUGGUGAGGCCAAAAGGCAUCGCUAACCACUCAUACAAACCGUAUUUAGUCUUAAACAUAGUCUUCCACUCGUCCCCCUCCCGCAUACGAAUUUGAUGAUACCCGCUUUUCAGAUCAAUCUUAGAGAACAAUUUUGCUCCACUAAGCUCGUCUAACAUAUCAUCAAGUCUAGGAAUGAGAUGUCGGUAUUUGACGGUAAUUUUGUUGAUAGCUCGGCAAUCUACGCACAUCCUCCAUGAACCAUCUUUUUUAGGCACCAACAGAACGGGAACCGCACAUGGACUUAAACUCUCCCGUAUAUAGCCUUUUUCCAUUAAUUUCGCCACUUGUCGUUGCAACUCUUUAGUUUCCUCUGGGUUGCUUCGAUAAGCUGGUCGAUUUGGAAUUGUAGCUCCGGGAAUAAAGUCUAUUUGGUGUUCAAUACCUCGAAAAGGAGGCAAUCCACUUGGCACAUCUUCCAGGAAAACGUCUUUGAAUUCCUGAAGCAAAGAAACAAUAGAAAAAGGUAAAGAAUUAUCAAGUUCGUUAGCAUCAAAUAAGCAUUCCUUGUACAUAAGUACAAGUACGGGUUGAUGCAACAACAAUGAUUUUCUUAUCUCUUUUUCUCUCGCAAAUACGCUCAUUUUACCACUCUCAAUUUCUUUUUGACUUUCUUGUUCCUCUCGUACUUUUACCUCCACUCCCUCAAUUUUUUCUUUCUUUUUUUCAUUUUUCUUGUCUCUCUCUUUUUCAAUCUUUUCCUUCAACUUCAAUUGAUCUUGGUACACUUGCUUUGGAGUCAAUGGCGCUAAAGUUACAUUCUUGCCUCGAUGCUUGAAUGUAUAGCGAUUUGUAUAACCAUCAUAGAUCACGCGCCUAUCAAACUGCCAUGGACGUCCCAAAAGUAGAUGUCCCGCAUGCAUAGGAACUACAUCGCACACCACUUCAUCUUGGUACUUUCCAAUAGAAAAUGCCACCACAGCUUGUUUUGUUACUUUCAGCUCACCUCCAUCAUUUAGCCAUUACAACUUGUAUGGAGUUGGAUGUUUAGUUGUAGCCAAACCUAGCUUUUCCACCAACAUAAUACUAGCUACAUUAGUACAGCUACCAUCAUCAAUGAUCAUACUACAUACCUUGCCUUGAAUGUGGCAUCGAGUGUGAAAAAUAUUCUCCCUUUGUUGAUCAGUUUCAACACUUUGAAUACUGAGGCUACGCUUCACCACAAGAAUUUCUCCUUCAACGGGUAACUCUAAAUCUUCAUCAUCGGAUGGCAUUUCAGGUUCAUUUUCAUCCUCUUCCUCUGACUCAACUUCUCCAUCAGCUCUUAUCACCAUAAUUCGUCGAUUGGGACAUUGACUAGCUAUGUGCCCUCGGCCUUGACACUUGAAACAUCUUAUGUCUCUCGUGCGAUUUGGUGCUUGCUCAUUUUUAUUUCGACUUGUCUCUCCAAUGGGUUGAUUUGAUUUAACUGCUACAGUCGGCUCUUUUCCACUAAUGCAAUCGGGCCCCAUGAGUUAUCAGAUGCGAAUGAUGUUUCCCUCGAGCUGCCUAAAGGACCUAUUACCAGAGCUAGGGCUAAGAAGUUUAAAGACACAAUUUCAGCUUUGGUUGAUCGGGUUUGGGGUGAAUCCGUGGCCAGUCUACUUGAAAACUCAUGGACCAGCAAGAUGAGCAAACCGUGCACUUUACUUCAUGGCAAGCUUCUAUCAACGAUUUGUUCCAAAUUUUAGCACCUUGGCAGCACCUUUAACUAGUGUGAUCAAGAAGUCUUCUGCCUUCUAUUGGAAUGAGGAACAAGAAAAAUCUUUCAUUGCUCUUAAAUCUUGCUUAACUAAUGCUCCCUUACUUGUGUUACCUGAUUUUGCUAAAAUGUUUGAAGUUGAAUGUGAUGCAUCAGGUGUCAGAAUUGGAGCCGUUCUAAUGCAAGAUGGAAGGCCCGUGGCAUACUUUAGUGAGAAGUUAAAUGGAGUCGUUCUCAACUAUCCGACGUAUGAUAAAGAAAUGUAUGCUCUAAUUUGAGCUCUCGAGACUUGGCAGCACUACUUAUGGCCAAAAGAGUUUGUCAUACACUCGGAUCAUGAGGCAUUGAAGCAUAUCAAGGGACAAGCAAAAUUAAAUAAACGACACGCCAAAUGGGUAGAGUAUUUAGAAUCUUUUCCUUACAUCAUCAAAUAUAAAAAGGGUAAGGAAAACAUUGUGGCUGACGCGUUAUCUCGACGAUACACUUUGCUAUCAUAUUUAGAUUUAAAAUUGCUCGGAUUUGCCUUUUUGAAGGAAUUGUAUAAUGAUGAUGUUAAUUUUGGUGAUAUUUAUAAAUCUUGUGAAAACAAAGCUGUUGAUAAGUUUUACAGGUUUGAUGGAUUUCUUUUUCGCGAAGGUAAGCUUUGUAUUCCGCAAAGUUCAAUACGAAAAUUGUUGGUGAUCGAGGCACAUGGUGGUGGACUCAUGGGCCAUUUUGGGGUGGCUAAGACGUUUUCAACCCUCCAAGAACAUUUCUUUUGGGCUGGAAUGAGAAAAGAAGUUGAACAAAUUUGUAGUCACUACAUAACUUGCAAGAAGGUCAAGUCCAAGAUUAAUCCACAUGGGCUCUACAAACCGUUGCCCAUACCUGACGCACCAUGGGUCGAUCUUUCUAUGGAUUUUAUCCUAGGACUUCCAAGGACUAAAACGGGGAAGGAUUCAAUUUUUGUUGUUGUAGAUAGAUUCUCCAAAAUGUCACAUUUUAUAGCUUGUUCUAAAAUUGACGAUGCCGUUCAUAUUGCUAAUUUGUUCUUUAGGGAGGUUGUACGACUUCACGGAAUUCCAAAAACCAUCGUAUCCGAUCGAGACGCAAAGUUCCUAAGUCAUUUUUGGAGGUCUCUAUGGGGAAAGCUAGGAACGAAACUGUUGUUUUCAACAACCUGUCAUCCCCAAACGGAUGGACAAACGGAGGUUGUGAAUCGCGUGCUAUCAACCUUAUUACGAGCAAUUAUUCGAAAGAAUCUCAAAGCGUGGGAGGAAUGUUUACCGCAUGUGGAAUUCGCUUACAAUAGAUCCGUCCAUUCUGCUAUUAAACAUUCACCAUUUGAGGUUGUGUAUGGAUUCAAUCCUCUAACUCCAUAUCAUCAAAAUAGACAACGCAAAAUUUUCCGAUAAAAGAACGAAGAACAUGGUUCAUCAACCGCAUGAAAGUGCUAGGCGCAUUGGUAAGCCCGAAUGGCAUAACCAACCACUCGUAGAGUCCAUGUUUCAUCUUAAAAGUGGUUUUCCACUCGUCCCCCUCACGCAUCCGAAUUUGGUGGUAUCCGCUCUUUAGAUCAAUUUUAGAAAAUAUUCGAGCACCACUCAAUUCAUCCAACAUAUCAUCGAGUCGCGGUAUCGGAUGUCGAUACUUAAUAGUGAUCUUAUUUACCACGCGACAAUCUACGCACAUACGCCAUGUUCCAUCCUUUUUUGGCACCAAUAAAAUCGGUACGGCGUAAGGACUAAGACUUUCUCGUAUAUAUCCCUUCUCCAUAAGUUCAUUGACUUAUUUUUGCAAUUCUUUGGUCUCUUCGGGAUUUGUACGAUAAGCUGGUCGAUUGGGAAUGGAGGCUCCGGGAAUGAAAUCAAUUUGAUGUUCUAUUCCUCGAAUGGGUGGUAACCCAUUAGGAAUGUCUUCCGGAAACACGUCCUCAAAUUCCUGCAAAAGAGAAACAAUCGAAGAGGGCAGAUUUGGAUCCAACUCAUUAGUAUUCAAAAGAGUUUCCUUGUACAUAAGUACAAGAACCGAUUGCUGCAUCAAAUAAGACUUUCUAAAAUCACUCUCUUUCGCAUAAACACUCAUUUUCUUUUGCUCUUUUUCUUCUCUAUUUUUUUGUUCAAUCGAUUUAUUAUUUUCUCUCACACUUUUCAAAAGUUUUUCUUUUUUUUUCUCAGUGUGUUUUUCGCUUUCUUUUUCAUUCUCUCGAAAUUUUUCAAAAGACUCUCUUAACUUCAAUUGGUCUUCAUAAACCUGUGAUACGAGCUCGUUUCGUAUGAAAUAACGAGUCGUAAUAUUUCCCGAUCGAAAUUAGGUAGUGUCGGCCUUGAAAUAAAUUCAAGUCUUGGUGUUUAAAAUUAAAUGGCUUUGGAAAACGAGGGAGUUUGAUGGAGUGUUGUUUGCUGGAUAUUUCAAUGAAAACAAGUCAAACCCUUAUUAGCAAAUAAGGACCCGGGGCUUAAGGUUUCAAAGAAAGAAAGGAUUUUGGGAUAAAACCGAGACCCUCUAUUUAGCAAAAUAGGAACCUACGGUAUGAAGAACGCCACACCAAUGGUGAUAAGUUCGAAACAAAGUCAGAUUGACGCCACUUGUUGAAGAUAAGUCAAUUUGAGCUUUGGAGAAUAAAGAGAGUGAAUUGCCUCACUAAAAUGAUAUUUCAUUCAGAAAUUUGUCAAAAGUCCUUUUACAAGAAAAUGAGUAACUAUUUAUAGCCUAAUGCCUAAUAGCCGAAUGGACAUAUUCUAGACUUAGUUUCUAAGCAAACAUUGAACAAAAAUGGCCAAUGUAGGUUCGACUGAAUGGUGACCAUACAUGAAGCUUCCAUAUUAAGCAAAUGAAUCUUGGGAAUGCAUGUAGCAGCUACAUUCAGCUGAUGAGCUUAAUUGAUCAUUCAAUAGGCAACUCUUGCUGAAAAAUUAUCAAUAAUAAAGAGGGCACUUGAACAGCCACAUUAGGUGUGAAUGGACGGUUUUGAAGAGCCUUAAAAUGUGAACACCAAGAACCGAAUGGCCAAAAUGUAUCCAGCAAUGUGAAGGAAAUAAUGGCAGCUUGAAAAACUAUCUCUUUAGCCGAAUGGUCACUUAGAGAACUUCAAUAAUCAGCACACCAUUUUUAAUGUAGUUCAUGCAUGUAUCAUUAGGUGCAUUGAAUCCAACAUGCAUGCAUCUUGCACACCACAUUCGGCCAACCUUUCCCAUGCAUCUUCCACAUUCGGCUGAACCUAAAUAAAACAAAUGAACCUCAUUAAUUUAACUCAAUUCAGCUGAACAUAAUAUGAACAUACUAAUUAACAUUAAGCCGAAUUAAAUAUGUACUAAACAAGACACAUUAAUUCGGCUGAACAUAGUUAAUUCAUGUAAUAUAUUCAAACAAAUUAAAUGACAUCUAGACACCUUUAAUUCAACCAAAUCAACAUAUUAAACACUUGUAAUAAAUUAAGACAUAUUUAAAAGCUGUAAUGAAACUUAUUUAAAUGCUUAUUUAAAUGGUCUAAAAUUCCAGCAGCAAAUUAAUUAGCUAGAAUGAAAUUCAGCUUCAAAGAAGUUGAAUAUGUUCAGCUCGUUUUUAAACUCCUUGCUAUCAUUUUCCUUAACCCGUUCUACCAUUGCUAAAAUAGCAUCUUUGAAUCGUUUAGCUCUAGCUCACGUUAUUGGACCAAUGGGCAGCUUAAUGGCUUCUUGUUCAUUCUCCAUUUGGUUCGUAGGCAAGCUCACAUCAUUCCCCUCCUCUUCAGAACGAUUUGCCCUCAAAUCGGAAUCUGCAUCAAACGGAGACAAAUCAGAAACGUUAAAAGUCGCGCUAAAAUUAUAUUCACCAGGCAAGUCCAAUUUAUAGGAGUUAUCGUUAAUUCGCUCAAGGACUUGAAACGGUCCAUCCCCUCUCGGAAGAAGUUUGGAUCGCCUUUGCAUAGGAAAUCUCUCCUUGCGCAUAUGCAACCAAACCCAAUCUCCCGGUUCGAACACAACUCGCUUACGACCUUUGUUAGCAUGUUGCUCAUAGUUCUUGGUCUUGGCCUCAAUAUUGUCUCGAACUCGUUGGUGCAAUUGCUUGACGAAAUCAGCUUUGCGCUUCCCAUCUACAUGAACAAGUUGAUUAGAAGGCAAUGGAAAUAAAUCAAGUGGAGUUAAUGGAUUGAAACCAUAGACAAUUUCAAAAGGAGAAAAUUUGGUAGCUGAAUGAACAGCUCGAUUAUACGCAAACUCCACAUGUGGUAAGCAUUCUUCCCAAGCCUUCACAUUCUUCCGAAUAAUAACUCAAAGCAAUGUAGACAGAAUCCGGUUGACCACUUCGGUUUGGCCGUCCGUUUGCGGAUGGCAAGUGGUUGAAAACAGCAACUUCAUUCCAAGACGCCCCCAUAGUGUCCUCCAAAAAUGGCUAAGGAAUUUUACGUCUCGGUCGGACACGAUCGUUCUAGGCAUGCCAUGCAACCUGACCACCUCUUUGAAAAAUAAGUUAGCAAUAUUAACGGCAUCAUCAGUUUUAUGACAUGCUAUAAAAUGGGCCAUUUUUGAGAACCUAUCUACAACCACAAAUAUUGAAUCUCGGCCAUUCUUACUCCUAGGUAAACCUAGCACGAAAUCCAUGGAGAUAUCAGACCAAGGGGUUUCGGGAAUAGGUAAUGGCUUAUACAAACCGUGGGGCUUAAUUCGUGACUUAGCCUGUUUGCACGCAAUGCAUCUAUUACAAAAUCGUUCGACAUCUCGUCGCAUCUUGGGCCAAAAGAAAUGUUCGUGCAAUGUAGCUAAUGUCUUAGCAACACCAAAGUGCCCCAUUAAUCCUCCGCUAUGGGCUUCUUCGAUCAACACUUCUCGUACGGAACCUUGGGGUAUACAAAGCUUUCCUUCUCGGAAUAAGUACCCAUCAUGUCGAUAGUACUUCUCGUAGGCUCCCUUGGCACAUAAUCUAAAGAAUUCACCAAAGUCAGCAUCGUUGACAUAUAAAUCUUUAAGAAAUACAAACCCCAUUAACUUAGCAUCCAAAAUAUUUAGCAACACAUACCUUCGAGAUAGUGCAUCAGCCACUACGUUUUCCUUACCUUUCUUAUAUUUAAUAACAUAGGGAAAAGAUUCGAGAAAUUCUACCCACUUAGCGUGUCGCUUAUUCAACUUGUGUUGCCCCUUUAAAUACUUCAAGGACUCAUGAUCGGUGUGUAUGACGAAUUCCUUGGGCCAAAGAUAGUGUUGCCAUGUUUCUAAGGCUCGGAUCAACGAAUAGAGCUCCUUGUCAUAUGUUGGAUAGUUUAAGACAGCACCAUUCAGUUUCUCGCUAAAAUAGGCAAUAGGACGACCAUCUUGCAUCAACACAGCUCCAAUGCCUAAACCUGAUGCAUCACAUUCUAACUCGAAAGUUUUAUCAAAGAUAGGCAAAGCUAAUAACGGUGCAUGAGUUAGACAAUCUUUAAUUUUAAAAAAGGAUUUUUCUUCUUCCUCUCCCCAAAUAAAGUUGGAAUUCUUACGAAUAACCCCGGUUAAAGGUACGGCUAAGGUGCUGAAAUUUGGCACGAAUCGACGGUAAAAACUUGCUAGUCCAUGGAAACUUCGGACUUGGGAGACAUUCGUCAGACGGGGCCAUUCUUGGAUCGUCUUGAUCUUCUCUUGAUCGACUUCAAGACCCUCCGAGCUAACAACAAAACCUAAAAACACAACCUUGUUAGUGUAGAAAUCACAUUUCUUCAAAUUAGCAUACAAGGUUUCUUUUCUCAAUACUUCCAAAAUAGAUUUUAAAUGUAAAAUAUGUUCAUCCAAAUUUUUACUAUAGAUCAAUAUAUCGUCGAAGUAUACUACGCAAAAUCUACCAAUAAAAGGUCUUAAAACGUGAUUCAUAAGCCUCAUGAAUGUGCUUGGGGCGUUCGUUAAGCCAAAGGGCAUAAUAAGCCAUUCGUAAAGCCCAUGCUUUGUUUUGAACGCAGUCUUCCACUCAUCUCCCUCACGCAUCCAUAUUUGGUGAUAACCGCUCUUAAGGUCGAUUUUUGAAAAUAAACUCGCGCCACUUAGCUCGUCAAGCAUAUCAUCCAAUCGUGGUAUAGGAUGACGAUACUUGAUAGUUAUUUUGUUUAUAGCACGGCAGUCCACGCACAUCCUCCACGUUCCAUCCUUCUUCGGAACUAGUAAAACAGGCACGGCGCAUGGACUAAGGCUUUCACGCACAUAGCCCUUUUCAAGGAGUUCAUUUACUUGCUUUUGUAAUUCUUUCGUCUCUUCAGGAUUGCUCUGAUAAGCAGGUCGAUUUGGAAUUGCGACUCCCGGCAUAAGAUCGAUUUGGUGUUCAAUUCCACGAAUAGGUUGAUACGACCAUGCCCCGGGCACACUUUUGGAUCAGCUCCCUAAGCAUUGUUUGCAAAUCCAUGCGAGCUGAAUUAGUUCAAUUUCAUUUCGUUAAGCUCCGUUUAGCUUGUUUCCAGCUCACUCGAGCUCAAGUCAACUCACUCAAGCUCAAUUCAGCUCAAUCUUAACCCAAUGAGCUUAUUUUUAGCUUUCUUUAGCUUGCAUUUAUUUUGCUGAAAUAAACCAUUUAAUUUGUCAUUAGUUAAAUUAGUUGUUUAUCUUAAGUUAGUUAAUUUGUUAAAAUCUGGACAAAUAAUUAAUUAAGUGUUUUAAUUAUAUCUAAAUUAAAUACUUAAUUAAUUAUGAUGUUUUAAAUAUGUCUAAAAUUGUUAAUAUGUAUGGCCAAAUUUAAUGUGCAAAUUAUUGAGUUCAUAUGCUGCUAAUUUAAUGUGUUUGAAAUGCAUUUAACUUGCUGAUUUAAUUUGCUGCAGGUUCAUGAACGGAUUGGUGCAAUGUAUGGGAGUGUGCAUGCACAAUUGAGGUUCAAUGGAUGGCAUUUAAAGGAGCACAUGCAUUUGGGACGUUCAUGCAAGAGGGAGUUGCUGAAAGUUCAUGUAUUUGAAGAUUCAUGGAUCAUAUUUAUGGGGGAAAAUACAUGGGACGUUUCAUGCAUGAUUCAUGCAUUUUCAAGAUGACCAUUCAAGUAUUUUAGGCACAUUAAUGCCUCAUUCAGCCAAGGGAGAUGUAGGAUCAUUAAAGAGCUGCACAUUCAUGGAAUUAUGGAGAUUCUUCAAGGCUAAGGAUGCAUGAAUGCAUCAAGUGAAGCAUCAUGAUGGUUCGGCCAAUUCAUGUACCAUCUUCAAGCAUGAACUGGAUUUUAAUGCUAUUUGUGUGAACAUGUUAAAUACCUGUGUGAACAGAAUUUAAGUUAGUGUGAACAACAUAGAUGCCGAAUAUCAAUAGGCAUUUUAGGCUUAUAAAUAGCUUACUUGUUUAUUGUAAAAGGUGACAGAAUUUGAUCAAUUAAACUUAAUAGAACUUUUGUUCUUGUGAGGUUACCUCCUCUCUUCUUUCGUUCGAGUCUCGAAGCGACUUAUCUAGCUUGCUAGUGGUGUCAAUCUGAACUCCAUUGAACUUAUCACCCAAUCGGUGUGGCGUUCAACCAUAUUUUUAUACCUUUGGUUCUUACCUCUAUAUAGGUAUUGGGUCAAGGUUCGCUUCUAUCCUUCCACAAAUUUCACCUUAAGCAAUAUAAGACUCGGGCAAUACUUUUUAGUAUUGAACAUUCUUGACGUUUAAGUUUUAUUUUCCAUCUCCAUCAAUUACCUUUUUCUAACCUACCUUGUUUCUAUUCUAAACCGAAUUUAUCAACACCAAACCACUCAUCUAAACCCUCUCAAAGCUUCCGCAACCCUUAGCCUAAAUCACCCAAUUUUGACAACUCCAACUACUCCUCGUAGACGAUCGGGCAACUUUGUGAAACGACUCGAUUAACUUGGGCUGGAUCACAUCAUUUGGUAUCAGAGCUUGCAAAACGAGGAGCAUCGACAUUCGUAAUAAGGCCGCAAGUAGGUUUGAAACGUGAAAAAAAAAAGAAAUUUUUUUUUGUUGUAAUUUAAUUUUUUCCCUUGUAUUUAGCUUACUAUUGUAUUGGAGUGUCAAAAAAAUCGAAAUUCAAAAAAAAAUUCAAAAAAAAUCGAAAAAAAGGAAAAAAAAGAAGUGACAAAAAAUCGAGUUAAAAAAAAGAAGAAAAAAAAGUGAAAAGUCUUGCGAGUUUUUAUCAUUAUCACUUAUUACUCCGAUCAUCAAGUUUCCCUUCCUACCAUUAUUUACCCAUCCCAACGCCACACUUUAAACCAAUUUUCUUCUUUAUUCAGCCUACCCUACACCCGACAUUAUCCCUUGUAACCCAUUUUGAAACUGACCCUCAAGCAGCAAAUUAAGUCUAUCGAGAUGAAUUACGAAUUUGUGAGACGAGGUCGAGUGGUAAAAGGCAAGAGAGCGUGAGUUCAUUCGAAAAAAAGCCUAAAAGAGAGUUCAAACACGAGUGAGUGAAUUUUUCUUUUUGAGCGAACUUGAGAGAUUUGUGGUGAGAAUUAUUUUUCUUUCUAAUUUAACUUUUGUUUUCUAAUAUUUUGUUGAAGCAUGUCUGAAGAAUUUUCUGAAUUUGAAUUCCAAAUGUGGAGACAAGAAAUGCAAAGGAUAAUGCGAUCUGAAUUUCGACAAUUCGACAAAGAUAAAGAAGAUUUGACAUCUACUAUCGUUGACAUCAAGAUUAGUGCAAUCCUUCAAAGAUUGGAAAAUGAACCACAAUGUGAAGAUAUGUUUCACACGCGUUGCCGUGUCCACGAUAAAGUUUGUUGCCUCAUUAUUGAUGGUGGAAGUAGGUCAAACAUGGCUAGUAUUCGAACGGUAAAAAAACUUGGCUUGGCCACUACCAAGCAUCCACGACCCUAUCAACUGCAAGGACUUGGUGUUGAAGGCAAAUUUGAAGUUACUCAACAAGUGCGUGUUGCAUUUUCCAUUGGAAGAUACCAAGACGAAGUCCUUUGUGAUGUUGUGCCUAUUCAAGUCUGCCAUUUGUUGCUAGGAGAACCAUGGCAAUCGGAUCGCAAGGUCAUUCACGAUGAACGUACCAAUAAGUAUUCCUUCAAGCAUCAAGGAAGGAAAAUCACUUUAGCGCCGCUCACACCGGAACAAGUGCAAGAAGACCAAUUCAAAAUGAAGCAAUCCAUUGAGCGAGAAAAGGAGAAAGAGAUUGAAAAAGAAAUGAAAGAAAAGGAACAAGAAAUUGAAAAAGAGAGUGAGAUUGAAGAAAGAAACGAGAGUGUAAAAGAAACGAGUGUCAUGGAAAAAGAAAUUGAGAUUGAAAAAGGAUGUGAAAAAGAGAAAGAAAUCGAAAAAGAAAUUGAGAUUGAACAAAAGUGUGAGGAAAAAGAGAAAAUUGAAAAAGAAAGAAAAGAUAAUUCUGAUUAUUAAACUUGAUUGUGAGGUUUCCUCCUAUCCUAUUUCGUACGAGUCUCGUUCUGACUUAUCUAGCUCGCUAGUGGCGUCAACCCGACUCCUUGAACUUAUCACCAUCCUGGUGUGGCGUUCAUCCACCUUUUUAUACCUUUGGUUCCUACCUCUCUAUAGGUAACGGGUCAAGGUCCAUCUUCGACUUCCAUUAAACCCACCUUAAGCAAUAUAAGUCCCGGGGCAAUACUUUACAUAGUAUUGAAUCGUUCUUCGCUUGAGUUCAAUUUCCAUUCCAUUUUAUCUAUCUACUUAAACUUUAUUUUCUUUGUUAAAUCGAACCAUCCAUUCUCCAAACCAAGCCAUUUUUGAACCCUUUUAAUUACUUCCGCUUAAACCAACUUCAUAAAGUUAUCUCCAUUCGACAUCAACCAAUACUUCUCGUCGACGAUCGGGCAACUUAAGUGAACUCGACUCCAUCAACCGAGCCAGAUCACAUCAUAGGUGGUAACCCACUCGGGAUUUCUUCCGGGAAUACGUCUUGAAAUUCCUGCAACACAGACAAAAUAGAAGAAGUCAAUUUGUCAUCAAAUUCGUUAGUGCCAAGCAAGCUCUCCUUGUACAAAAGAACCAACAAUGGUUGUUUCAAUAGCAUCGAUUUUCGAACUUCCCUCUCUUUUACAAACAAAUUCUUUGUUUCAAUCUCAUCACUCAUUUCUUUUUCUUUUGAAUCACUCUCUUUUUUUAUCACUCAUCUUUUUGUUUUUCUUCUUUUCUUCACUCUUUUCAUUAUUCUUUUCAUUUUUUUGCUCACUCUCAAUUUCUUUUGAUUUUUCAAUCGAACUCCUCAUUUUGAGUUGAUCUUCGUACACUUGUUUCGGUGAUAACGGAGCUAGAGUCACCAUUCGUCCAUUAUGUUUGAAAGAGAAUCGAUUUGUGUAACCAUCAUGAAUUGCUCGCUUGUCGAAUUGCCACAGACGUCCCAAAAAAAGAUGCCCCGCAUGCAUCGGUACAACGUCGCACAUCACUUCAUCUUGAUAUUUUCCGAUUGUGAAUGAAAUGAGCACUUGUUUUGUUACCUUUAAUUCUCCACCAUCGUUAAGCCAUUGGAGUUUAUACGGAUGGGGAUGUUUGGUGGUGGCCAAUCUGAGUUUCUCCACCAUCAAUGUGCUAGCCACAUUUGUACAACUUCCCCCAUCGAUUAUCACGCAACAAAUCUUACCUUGCACUUGACAUCGCGUAUGGAAGAUGUUCUCGCGUUGUUGAUCAUUUUCGGCACCUUGCAAGGUGAGACUUCUUUUCACAACCAAGAUUUCUCCAUUCUCGGCUUGUUCGAUGUCUUCCUCUUCUUCGAGUUGUUCAACAGCCUCGUUCUCUUGUUCACUUUCGGAUUCAAUUUCUCCAUCAUCUCGAACAAACAUCGCAUUUCGGUUCGGACAUUGGCUUGCGAUGUGGCCCCUUCCAAGACAUUUGAAGCAUUUGAUGUCUCGGGAUCUAUUUGGUUGGGCAUCCAUCUUUCCUUUACUCGAUUCGGCAAUCGGUUUGUUGAAUUUGGUAGCUCCACUUACUUCUUUAUUUCGACUCGGCAAGUCUCAUUUGUUGGACCCUUGCCCCCACUUAGUCGUAGAAGAAGUAUUAGGGAAAGAACGGAACGUACCUUUUCUCUUUAAUUAUUUUUCAACCUUUAUGGCCAUAUGGACCAUAUCAAUGACCUCGACAUAAUGGUGUAGCUCCACAAUAUUUGCAAUAUCUCGGUUAAGGCCGGAGAGAAAUCGAGCCAUGGUGGCUUCUCGAUCUUCCUCCACAUCGGCGCGGAUCAUGGCCACUUCCAUUUCCUUGUAGUAAUCCUCCACGCUUCGUUGGCCUUGAGUUAAGCUUUGGAGCUUUUGAUACAACUCCCGGUGAUAGUAAGCAGGAAUGAAUCGCUUUCUCAUUAUGGCUUUCAUUUCCGCCCAUGUAGACACGGGACGUUCGCCAUUGCAUCUUCGGCUCAUCGUGAGUUGAUCCCACCAUAUUAUGGCGUAUUCGGAGAAUUCUAUAGCAGCUAACUUUACCUUCUUGCUUUCCGAGUAAUUGUGGCACUCGAAAACUAACUCCACCUUCUUCUCCCAUUCAAGAUAGGCCUCGGGAUCCGACCUUCCUUGAAAAGCAGGAAUCGCCAUUUUAAUGUUUUUUUAAAUCAUCAUCAGUCCUCUCUCGAUCUCUUGGUCCCCAUGCUCGUUGGCCUUGUCGCCUUGCACUUUGUCGCGAAGCUCGAUCACUUUCAACGUCACUUACUUCAUAUAGAUCAUUUGCAUGUUGCCAUGGACGUUCUCGCUCUCUUCUCGGAAUAGGAGGGGUGUUCGCACGUUGGCUUCGUUCCUCCAUUUGUUCCAUUCGUUCAUAAAGGGAAUCAAAUUGAGGUUGGAACAAACGAGAAAUUUCUCGCACGAUUGCUUGAACUUGUAGAUCGGGCACUCCGCCUCCGGGAACGUUUCUCCUUGGUUGAAGAUUAACUCCUCCACCAGCGGCAUUCGAGGCUCCUCCACUUGUUGCUCGUCGUUCCGGGCUCCUUGACAUGAUGAUUAAAAUUAAGAAAAUAUCCUCACCAAAAAAAAACCUCACAAUUCACUCACAAGAAAAGAAUUCACUCCUCUCGUGUUUCACUCUAUUUUCGGCUUUUAUCUUGAUGUACUCUCUUGCCUUUUACCUCUCAAAUCCAACUCUCGAUAUUCUGAAAAGCUACUUAGAUUUAUCCACACUUGUGGGUCGGCUUCAAGGGGUUUGCAAGGGAAAGUCGUAGGGUUUAGGCUAGGCUCGAAAGAAAGAAAGGCUUAAGAUGUGGCGUAUAAAAUGGAUUCACUAAUUGGGAAUUUUUUUUAAUAGCGUGAAAAUUCACUAAAAUGGGUAUAAAGGAGUGUAGAAUGUGAUUUUAGAAAAAAAUUUGUUGAAGUUCUCCAGACUCUUUUUUUUACGGAUCUUUCACGUUCUUUUCGUCCGCACCUAGACCGUAUGCAAUUUUUUUUUUCAAAAUUUUUUUUUUCAAUUUUUUUUUCAAUUUUUUUUUCAAUUUUUUUUGAAUCUACAAUUUACAUACCUAAAUUAACCAGCUCUGAUACCAACUGAUACGAGCUCGUUUCGUAUGAAAUAACGAGUCGUAAUAUUUCCCGAUCGAAAUUAGGUAGUGUCGGCCUUGAAAUAAAUUCAAGUCUUGGUGUUUAAAAUUAAAUGGCUUUAGAAAACGAGGGAGUUUGAUGGAGUGUUGUUUGCUGGAUAUUUCAAUGAAAACAAGUCGAACCCUUAUUAGCAAAUAAGGACCCGGGGCUUAAGGUUUCAAAGAAAGAAAGGAUUUUGGGAUAAAACCGAGACCCUCUAUUUAGCAAAAUAGGAACCUACGGUAUGAAGAACGCCACACCAAUGGUGAUAAGUUCGAAACAAAGUCAGAUUGACGCCACUUGUUGAAGAUAAGUCAAUUUGAGCUUUGGAGAAUAAAGAGAGUGAAUUGCCUCACUAAAAUGAUAUUUCAUUCAGAAAUUUGUCAAAAGUCCUUUUACAAGAAAAUGAGUAACUAUUUAUAGCCUAAUGCCUAAUAGCCGAAUGGACAUAUUCUAGACUUAGUUUCUAAGCAAACAUUGAACAAAAAUGGCCAAUGGAGGUUCGGCUGAAUGGUGACCAUACAUGAAGCUUCCAUAUUAAGCAAAUGAAUCUUGGGAAUGCAUGUAGCAGCUACAUUCAGCUGAUGAGCUUAAUUGAUCAUUCAAUAGGCAACUCUUGCUGAAAAAUUAUCAAUAAUAAAGAGGGCACUUGAACAGCCACAUUAGGUGUGAAUGGACGAUUUUGAAGAGCCUUAAAAUGUGAACACCAAGAACCGAAUGGCCAAAAUGUAUCCAGCAAUGUGAAGGAAAUAAUGGCAGCUUGAAAAACUAUCUCUUUAGCCGAAUGGUCACUUAGAGAAAUUCAAUAAUCAGCACACCAUUUUUAAUGUAGUUCAUGCAUGUAUCAUUAGGUGCAUUGAAUCCAACAUGCAUGCAUCUUGCACACCACAUUCGGCCAACCUUUCCCAUGCAUCUUCCACAUUCGGCUGAACCUAAAUAAAACAAAUGAACCUCAUUAAUUUAACUCAAUUCAGCUGAACAUAAUAUGAACAUACUAAUUAACAUUAAGCCGAAUUAAAUAUGUACUAAACAAGACACAUUAAUUCGGCUGAACAUAGUUAAUUCAUGUAAUAUAUUCAAACAAAUUAAAUGACAUCUAGACACCUUUAAUUCAACCAAAUCAACAUAUUAAACACUUGUAAUAAAUUAAGACAUAUUUAAAAGCUGUAAUGAAACUUAUUUAAAUGCUUAUUUAAAUGGUCUAAAUUCCAGUCAUCAAAUUAAUUAGCUAGAAUGAAAUUCAGCUUCAAAGAAGUUGAAUAUGUUCAGCUCGUUUUUAAACUCCUUGCUAUCAUUUUCCUCAACCCGUUCCACCAUUGCUAAAAUAGCAUCUUUGAAUCGUUUAGCUCUAGCUCGCGUUAUUGGACCAAUGGGCAGCUUAAUGGCUUCUUGUUCGUUCUCCAUUUGGUUCGUAGGCAAGCUCACAUCAACCUGCCUCGGUGUCAUCGGGACUAAGGUGACAUUCUUGCCUUCAAACUUGAAAGUGUAGCGGUUUGUAAAACCAUCAUGAGUAGCUUUACGGUCGAAUUGCCAUGGACGACCCAAUAACAUAUGACCAGCAUGCAUAGGUACUACGUCGCAUAAAACUUUGUCGGAAUAUUUUCCGAUAGUGAACGGCACCAAAACUUGCUUAGUUACCUUCAACUCCCCUCCAUCAUUAAGCCAUUGAAAUUUGUAAGGUUGAGGGUGCUUAGUUGUUGGCAAGCCGAGUUUUUCAACCAUUAAGGUGCUGGCCACAUUUGUACAACUCCCGCCAUCAACGAUCAAGCUACACACCUUGCCUUGGACAUGGCAACGUGUAUGGAAAAUGUUCUCCCUUUGCUGUUCGUUUUCAACGCUUUGAAGACUAAGACUUCGUUUAAUGAUGAGGAUUUCGCCAUCAACAGCAUAUUCAAGUUCGUCUUCUUCUUCGGCGGCUUCAUCGGGGUUUUCAUCAUCGUCUUCCUCCGAUUCGAUCUCUCCAUUAGCCCGCAAUAUCAUGUUAGUUCGGUUAGGGCAUUGACUUGCAAUAUGGCCCCUCCCUAAACACUUGAAACACUUUAUUUCUCGUGAUCAAUUCGGCAUGACAACUUCUUUACCUUUGCUUGUUUCACCAACGGGUUUGCUCACCUUAGAAGACAAAGGGUGAUCUUUAGUGCGAUUAGAGAAGUCUUUCUUACCCGUGCCUUGGUUCCACCUUUGAAAAUUGUUAGUGCUAGGAAAGGUUCGGCUAGUUCCUUUUCUCUUCAAUUGUUUUUCGACUUUGAUGGCAACAUGUACCAUAUCAACAACUUCGACAUAGUGUUGAAGUUCCACCACGUUAGCUAUGUCACGAUUAAGGCCGGCUAAGAAUCGAGCCAUGGUUGCUUCACGAUCUUCAUCCACGUUUGCUCGAAUCAUGGCAAUUUCCAUUUCUUUGAAGUAGUCCUCCACACUUCGAUUUCCUUGCGUAAGAUUCUGCAAUUUUUGAUAAAGUUCACGAUAAUAGUAAGAGGGUAUAAAUCGCUUACGCAUUACGGCUUUCAUUUCGGUCCAAGAUGAGAUUGGCCGCUCCCCGUUCCUUCUUCGACUCGUUGAGAGUUGAUCCCACCAUACCAUUGCGUAAUCGGAGAACUCGAUUGCCGCCAAUUUCACCUUUUUGCUCUCCGAGUAGUUGUGACACUCGAAGAUCACCUCUAUUUUUCUCUCCCAUUCUAGAUAGGCUUCCGGAUCAGAUUUCCCAUGAAAGGGAGGAAUGGAUAGUUUAAUACCUUUUAAGUCACCAUCAACUUGGCCUCGAUCUCUAGGACCCCUAUUCCUUUGACCUCGUCAUCUUUCGUUUUGAUCCAAUGAUACAACAUUUAACCUUUCCUAAGUAUUCGUAUAAGUCCUGGGUUAACACACUUAUAUUGUGUUGGUUCAACUGGAAUACUUGGUUUUCAUUCACCUAUCAUCCUCAAUACACUUCAUAACCCCUUUUGAACUAAAUUUGAGCCUUUAUCCCUUCUUUCUUAACCUAUCUUCGACAAACCUUGAUAUUACUCCAAUUCACGAUCGGGUACAUCAACGACUCGACUCUCAUCACCGAGGCCGGGGCGUAUCAUCCACCAACAUAAUACUAGCUACAUUAGUACAGCUACCACCAUCAAUGAUCAUACUACAUACCUUGCCUUGAAUGUGGCAUCGAGUGUGAAAAAUAUUCUCCCUUUGUUGAUCAGUUUCAACACUUUGAAUACUGAGGCUACGCUUCACCACAAGAAUUUCUCCUUCAACGGGUAACUCUAAAUCUUCAUCAUCGGAUGGCAUUUCAGGUUCAUUUUCAUCCUCUUUGAUACGGGGUUGCGCGCGGACCAAGAUCGAGUUGCCAAGUCACGAGAAACUCCUACGAAAACCCUAAACAAUUAGAUCUGAAACGAAAACAGAAAAUUAAAAGAUUAGAUUUUUGAAUUUUCAGAUCUGAAAUAAAAUCCCCAAAACAGUAAAGAAUCAAAUAGAGAAUAGAAAUAAGUGUUAGGGUUCUUGAAACCCUCAAGGAGAUUGUGAUUCUGCCCAAUUGAACACCAAGAUAGUUUUUCCCAAAUUUCGACAAUCUAAUUUCACCCAAAAAGAGUAUGGAAAAACCCUAGAAAUUGGGGAUUUUUGGGCUGAUUCCUUAAGAUAGAAAAAGGCUGAAAACACAAUAAGAACAGAAAAUAGAUUAGAUAAUGAUUCAGCACAAGUAGAAAUAAAGAAAUAAAAUGAAACAGCAAGAAAUAAAGAAAGUUCUAAAGAUCCUUGAAAUCCCGAAAGAUUUCACAAAUCCCUUCAAACGGCUCUAAUCUCCCCUCCAAAGAAUAUCAAUGGCAAGAAGAAGGUUGAAGAUGGCUCCCACAAUCAAAAGAUUGUUAAAACAACUUCUAAAGAAAACUCAAGAGAGAAAUCUUGGAGAAAACUCAAAGAAAAUUCUGCUCUCAACAAAUCUGAAAUUUUAAUAAUAAUGAUAAGUGUUUAACAAGGUGGACAGCCAUGCCUUUAAAUAGGCCUUAUAACUAGUCCUAAUCUAAUUAGAAAACUAAAAUAAAAAAAAACUCCUAAUUAUUUUAAUAUGGAAAUUCGGUCAAAGGUCAUUUUAUCUGGGACUCUUGGACUGAAUAUUGACAUAAAAAUUUAAACUAAGUAAAUAAAUAAAUAAAUAAAUAAAUAAAAAUAAAACUUUACAACUUGGGCCACUUUGACAAUUUGGCCUGAUUUUCAACUAAGUAUGGAUGGAUUUCUUGAUUGGGCUGGGAAUUUGCUUAUUGGGCCUCGCCUUCAAGAAUUUGGGCUUUUGUGACUCGUAUCAUUCCCCCCUUCCUCAAAAAGAUUCGUCCUCGAAUCUGAAAAAUCAAAUGAACUCGACUUUCCUCUAUCGAACGGGACUAAUGGCAAUUGAGUCCACUGAAAAGAAUAGCCAUGAGAUAGUAAAUAGCAGCGGAAACAAGCUUGUAGUCCAAUCAUAAGCAUAACAGAACAGGUAUAACGCAUGUGAAUGGACA
rnacentral:lncRNA from 1 species